GGGGGAUAUUGCACAAUGGACGGAAGUCUGAUGCAGCGACGCCGCGUGGGGGAUGAAGGCUUUCGGGUGGUAAACCUCUGUUAUUCCUGAACAGGGCUUGGACUGUUGACUGGGUUGAGGGUAGGGGGUGAAGUAGCGCCGUGUAACCACGUGCCAGCAGCCGCGGUAAUACGUAGGUCGCGAGCGUUGUCCGGAUUUAUUGGGCGUAAAGAGCUCGUAGGCGGUUUGUGCGUCUGCUGUGAAAACGCGGGGCUUAACUUCGCGCGUGCAGUGGGUACGGGCAGGCUAGAGUGCGGUAGGGGAGAUUGGAAUUCCUGGUGUAGCGGUGGAAUGCGCAGAUAUCAGGAGGAACACCUAUGGCGAAGGCAGGUCUCUGGGCCGUUACUGACGCUGAGGAGCGAAAGCGUGGGGAGCGAACA
rnacentral:rRNA from 1 species